GACGAACCGAGCGAACGUUGUUCGGAAUCACUGGGCUUAAAGGGCGCGUAGGCGGGCUGCCGCGUCCGGGGUGAAAUCCCACGGCUCAACCGUGGAACGGCCCCGGGUACGGGCGGCCUCGAGGGGGGUAGGGGCGUGCGGAACUGUGGGUGGAGCGGUGAAAUGCGUUGAUAUCAUUUGGAACGCCAAUGGUGAAAACAGGUAGCUGGGGCUGUGCUGACACUGAGACACGUAAGCCAGGGGAGCAAACGGG
rnacentral:rRNA from 1 species